UACAGAGGUCCCGAGCGUUGUUCGGAUUCACUGGGCGUAAAGGGUGCGCAGGUGGCAAGGCAAGUCGGAUGUGAAAGCUCCGGGCUCAACCCGGAAAUGGCAUUGGAAACUGCUUUGCUUGAGGUUUGGAGGGGGGACUGGAAUUCUCGGUGUAGCAGUGAAAUGCGUAGAUAUCGAGAGGAACACCAGUGGCGAAGGCGAGUCCCUGGACAACACCUGACACUGAGGCACGAAAGCCGGGGGAGCAAACAGG
rnacentral:rRNA from 1 species